rnacentral:lncRNA from 1 species
GAUGUGUCAGUCAAACUUCAGUAGCCUCACGCAAGUAGUAGUGUCAUCUCAAGUCAAAAGACCAGUCAUACAACUGUAGCAUCGAGAAAGUCACUAACGAGUGAGCAAACAUCCAUGUGACUUCUCGUGUUGGUCAUGCUCAGUGCUAGUUAUUCUCUAACAACCACCUAUACUCUCAUUCCAGUAUCUCUACACUGCAGACUCG